rnacentral:pre_miRNA from 14 species
UGUGUAUUGUAGUCAAGUGCUCAGAUGUCUGUGGUGGCUGCUUAUGUAUCACGGAUGUUUGAGCAUGUGCUAUGGUAUCUA